AUGAGUGGUCCAAACCGCUGUUUUGAGCGUGAAACGCUCUCGGUGGACGUCCACGGACAGCACCGGUUUGCUCUUUCAAGGCGGCAGCGCGGGUUCGAAUCCCGUUGGGGAUGCCA
rnacentral:tRNA from 1 species